CCUACGGGAGGCAGCAGUGAGGAAUAUUGGUCAAUGGGCGGGAGCCUGAACCAGCCAAGUCGCGUGAGGGACGACGGUCCUAUGGAUUGUAAACCUCUUUUGUCGGGGAACAAAGGCGCCCACGGGUGGGCGGAUGAGUGUACCCGAAGAAAAAGCAUCGGCUAACUCCGUGCCAGCAGCCGCGGUAAUACGGAGGAUGUGAGCGUUAUCCGGAUUUAUUGGGUUUAAAGGGUGCGUAGGCGGACAGUCAAGUCAGCGGUAAAAAUGCGGUGCUCAACGCCGUACAGCAGUUGAAACUGGCAGUCUUGAGUACAGUAGAGGUGGGCGGAAUUCGUGGUGUAGCGGUGAAAUGCUUAGAUAUCACGAAGAACUCCGAUUGCGAAGGCAGUUCACUGGACUGCAACUGACACUGAGGCUCGAAAGUGUGGGUAUCAAACAGGAUUAGAUACCCCAGUAGUC
rnacentral:rRNA from 1 species